ACCACCACCGACUGGUACUUUGCUAUUUGACAUAGUGUCAAAUUAUUAUUAUUUUUUGUCUUCAAUUUGGGGCUAAAUUUAAGAAAAAAAUACAUGAUGAAACUACGACAAGUAAAAUCGGAGUGUCCUUCAAAUUUUAUGAAUAAGAAGAUCAAAAAAGAAAGAACCAAGACUCCCUUAAGAUAUUCAAGAAGAUUAAGAAAACUCCCUCCAGAAAAAAUUCAAUUUUUUGAUAAUAUUCGAGAUGAAUUAAAACGUAGCAGGAAUAAUGACAAGAUUGUUAUUUCCCAACCCUCGGCCUACUCGUAUUUCUUCAGUUCAAACAAAAAAAGGCAGCUAAGGCUUCCUCAAAAAAUUAAAAAUUCAAAAGAAGUUAUCAGUAUAUUUAGUGCACCCAAGAUUUGCAUCAAAGGCUCUUCCAUGAGAAAGAUAAGCGAAGAAAUGCCAGUGAAAGUCAAAGUAAAAGGAAUUACCGUCCAGCCAAACAUAACGUUUAAGAGACCUUUGCAUCCUCUUAGCCCAAAUCCUGUCAUGGUUACCAAAGUAAAAAAAGAACGUACAUCCGAUGUAGAGAAAAUUUUAAAUCAGAGGAAAAAGUUUGUAUUGGAAGUGCUAAACAAGGGAAAUAUCAAAGACAUCGAAAAAUUACCGACUAUUGGGAGUAAAACAGCCGAAAUGAUAAUAUUAUACAGUAGGGAAGCCCAAGCGGAGAUUUUGCGCCUUACUGGAGCGUGUCAGAAAAUCAUAUAGGAAGAAACCUUAUACGUACUUAAUGUAACUGUACCACAUAUGGAUCCUUACUAUAGAGGCGUGCGUUGACAGCAGUCCGUCAGAUUAGUAAAAUAGUAGUAUCAGAUUAGUAGUCAUCAGAAAAACGCGUUAGAUUAAGCCAAGGACCUAAUCUUCUCAAUCCAAUAGAUCUCCAUGGAGCUUUAGUAACUGCAAAUUUCGGAUUUUAAGUCUUUGUACAAUUAUUAUUUAACGUACAGUGUUUUUAAAAAAUUACGUGCGAAGCCUUUGAGCUUCAAAUGGGGUAUUAUUAAAUAUUUCGUACAUACAGGGUGUCGUGUAAAUUGAGGGUUGAUACUUACUCUGUUAUUGUAGAUAGGAUACCCUAUAGUAUACCUCAUUACAGUAUUG